rnacentral:sRNA from 1 species
GGAGCAGGGAAGGCGGGAGACAGCGCAGUUUGAAUCGCGGUGCGACGAAGGAGUAGGUGGUGGGAUCUCACCGUGGGUCCGAUUAGCCUUUUCUCUGCCUUGCUUGCUUGAGCUUCAGCGGAAUUCGAAAUGGUAAACUUCGCAGAGACGCUCGAUGACUCCGCGGGUUUUUGCCGGCGGGAGAAAAACCCGUUACACAGAGGGAUGGGGGUGAAGUGGCGACGGUUGGGAACGCGCGGAGACAGGAUUUAGAAGAGUGGGGGGAGGUGUUUUGUCGGCUGCUAGCGGAGCAGCCUCGGAUCUCGCGGCGGGCGGCGACGGUUGGGUGGCGCGCGCAGCGCCGCUGGGGGCCGGCGGGCGGGCGGAGGCGCGCGGCCGUGGCGAGCGCGCGGCGGGGGGCGAACGGGCGGGGUCGCCCCUGCGGCGCGCCGCGGGCCGGAGACCCCGGCGGGGUGCGGGGACGCGCUCGCGGCGGGACGCGCCGCGGUGGGGGAUGGGCGCGCCGCCUUGGUAAUUCUAUAUUCUCCGUUCCUCCUCCGCUCGCGGGCGUGUGCGCGCCGCAGGCUGGCGGUAAGGCUGGAAAGGACUCCGGAAAGGCCAAGACAAAGGCGGUUUCCCGCUCGCAGAGAGCCGGCUUGCAGGUCAGUAGUUGUUCGUGCAGUCUGGGAGUCAUGAUGUUUUUCUUUGCAUUUCCUUUUUUGUUAUUCAUCGCUCUCGAUGGGCGUUUUGUGUAUGCGUGGGUGAUGCGGUGUCGCGACUUGGGCUGCCCAUACGAUAAAUAUGGGGGGGAGGAAUCACGUGUUUCGAUGUCGGGACGCGUUGCUGCGCCCGUGCCCCUUGCUUUGGCGCGCAUAUAAUUUCCCCAUCUCUAGUUCUCAUUUUUGUGCAUUUAUGUUUGUGUAUGCUUAAAAUUUAAGUUCCCAGUGGGCCGUAUUCAUCGACACCUGAAAUCUAGGACGACCAGUCAUGGACGUGUGGGUGCGACUGCCGCUGUGUACAGCGCAGCCAUCCUGGAGUACCUCACCGCAGAGGUACUUGAACUGGCAGGAAAUGCAUCAAAAGACUUAAAGGUAAAGCGUAUUACCCCUCGUCACUUGCAACUUGCUAUUCGUGGAGAUGAAGAAUUGGAUUCUCUCAUCAAGGCUACAAUUGCUGGUGGUGGUAUGUUAACUUCUAACAUUUUAAAAAAUUUCUUCAGAGGAAGGAAUUUUUUGCUGCUUUUAAUUAGUUUUUCCAGGAGAGGAAAUUUAAGUAUAUUUUCAAUGAUGGAAGUAUAGUUGUAUCAUGAAAUUUGAUUUAUAUGUAUAACUCAAUGAAUUUUUACUUCAUACUUGAGCUGCACGUUUUUAAAGAUACCUUUCAAGUUGAACAGUGUACACUUUCUUGGUUUCAAAUACUGUGAUUUUUAAAAAAAUCUUAAGUAGAAUUAAUUCCUGUCACUCUCCUAGGUGUCAUUCCACACAUCCACAAAUCUCUGAUUGGGAAGAAAGGACAACAGAAGACUGUCUAAAGGAUGCCUGGAUUCCUUGUUUUCUCAGGACUCUAAAUACUCUAACAGCUGUCCAGUGUUGGUGAUUCCAGUGGACUGUAUCUCUGUGAAAAACACAAUUUUGCCUUUUUGUAAUUCUAUUUGAGCAAGUUGGAAGUUUAAUUAGCUUUCCAACCAACCAAAUUUCUGCAUUCGAGUCUUAACCAUAUUUAAGUGUUACUGUGGCUUCAAAGAAGCUAUUGAUUCUGAAGUAGUGGGUUUUGAUUGAGUUGACUGUUUUUAAAAAACUGUUUGGAUUUUAAUUGUGAUGCAGAAGUUAUAGUAACAAACAUUUGGUUUUGUACAGACAUUAUUUCCACUCUGGUGGAUAAGUUCAAUAAAGGUCAUAUCCCAAA